AAUGGGAAACAAACGGACAAUAUCCUCCUGCCGGACGACACUGUGAAAGAUUAAGAAGAAAAGGAGGAUGUUGUUCAUGUUAUUAGACAAAGAAAAAAAGAAAUCUCCCCCUCGUCCCGUGUCCCUGAGGUUUGGCCGCUCCAGUGAAGUGAGGAGAAGUCGUUGAGAUUGAAGCUGGCACCUCGCUCUAAGAGGGAGUUCCACGGGGAGGAGGCCCAGCCCCGGGGGCGGUCUGCUGCCAGCCGAGGUGAGGGAUUGUGGGGGAAAGGAGACAUGGCAGCUCCACUUCCUCUUGGCUCCACAGUGGAAGCCAAAUUAGAGAAAUAUAAUCCAGAUGACGGCUAACCACAGACCACUGGAGAGCAGAGAGAGACAACCAGAAAUCACCAGGCCUGAUAAUCAGUGUGUGUAUGCGUGUGUGUGUGUGUGUGUGUGUGUGUGCGUGUGUGUGUGUGUGUUGAUUAUGCUGGCUGGUUAUGGAGGAGCUCUGACGUGUGCACCAUCAGCUCUCUUCGAGCUGAUGGUGCUGCUGACAGUUUGAACCUCUGCACUGAGUUUUUGUUUUCAUGAUGACAUUUUGUCUCUAUCCAUUUCUUCCUUUUCCCUUUUGGUGCAAUCACACGUCACAUACGCAACAUUUUUCCUCAAACUUGUCGCCCGAAUGCCUUUCAACCAUUUCUAUUGUUUGUGCCACGUUAGCUCAGUUGAAUUUCUUAACCCUAGUAUUGUCCUCACCCUCUGGUAUCCCUCAGGUCAAAAUGACCCAGGAUAUACUGUAUUUAGGCUUUUAAAAAGUUUUAAAAUUUGAUUUCAUGAACCAUUAACAUAUAUUGUCUUUAUCUAAAUUUCAAGCAAUUGAGAUAAUACACAUGUUUAAUGAUUGCAAUCAGUCUCUAGAGUGGGUGUCGUGCUUAUCUUGAAGACGUCUUCCUUUUCCACAUCGCUGUGUGUCGGACUCCUUUCAAUGACAGCUAAAUCUUUUGGUCAAACUGAGGGGGUACUAACGUUUCUGUACUGUGAUGUAGAGGUAUUCAUCUCUAUUGCCUCACCCCCUUGAUGUGAAGGUGCAAGGCACAUGCGAGAAAAUGAUGUUUAGUAUGUUAUGGACCGUAGAGGACCUUAAGGAAGGAAGUUGAGAAGAGAAAAGGAGCCAGUGACUGAGCAAGAGGCCAAGGCAAGACUAAAUCUGGUAAUCUGUGAAAUUAAAGCCUAGAAGAUGCAGA